CGUGAGAGAAGACUUCCUGAGCAUGAGAGGAUGGGCAGCCCUGAAGCAGGCAAAGGAAAAGUGGCACGGCAGGAAGCAAGUCAGAUGAGGGGGCCUGGUUUGUGCGAGAACAUGACAAACCAGUGUUCCUGAAGCCUAAAGGGAAGGUGAGACAAGGCAGAGGAGGCUGGCGGGGCCAGGUCACGGAGUCUCCUGUGCCACACUGAGAGUCUGGGCUUGAGCUUGUGGAGAGCCCAAGGAUGAAAACAGAGAAGUAAUUAAUGGCAGCUUUCCUGGGCCAGAAGAAUAAAUAAGGAAUUAUCUUACAAACAGAUUCACUGGAGUUCCACUAGAAUAGUGCAGUUAUCACAUCUUCCUCCAAAGAGGGCAAAUAAACCACAGCAACCAUGAAAUUAGAAGUUUGGUAAAACAUGUUGCAGAAGAACCAGGAAACACAUUGCAAUUGAGCCUGCUGGGUGCUGCUGCAAGUUUGGGGGUGAACAGGAGAAUCAGGUUCUUAUAGGGGUGAAGUCUGCAAAGUAGGAUGUUUUCCUAAUUUGAAUGCAAUGACUGAAGUGGAAAAUGGUCAAAACUGGGCAGAGUGGCUCACACCUACAAUCCCCUAGGAGGGAAGGACAAAGGCAUCCAUAUCACCUCGCCACAGUGGUUGUGGUGGAAGCUGUAGCACUGAAGAGAUGCAGCCCCAUGGAAGAUGCUGCCAAGAGAGGGAGACAGAGCUACGUCUGGUGUCUCCCUUCCUCCUUACCUGGUGCCUCCCUCCUCCUGUCCUCCUGUCUCCCUUCAGAUGAAGGAACUGAUGCUGAGACUUGCACUCUACCAUAGGCGGAAGCACCCACCACCCUGUUCCCAGCCCUGGAAGGGCAAGGAAUGAAUCUGAGGCAAAUAGGGCCAGCACUGGCAGUCUGCUCGAUUUUCCCUCAGAGCAUUUAUCUUCCUUGACAUAUUUACAAUUUUUUGUCUAUUUUUGGUUUCUCUAACUUGACUAGAAUGUAAGAUCCACAAGGCUUGGGCUUUGCUCUUUUGUUCACUAUGUCCAUAGCUCCUGUAACAGUGCCUAAAACAUAGUAGGCAAUCAAUAGAUAUUCUUUGGAUAAACAAAUAUGCCUCAACAUUGAGUCUAACUUACAGCAGACAUUGAAUAAAUAUCUAUUGAAUGAA
rnacentral:lncRNA from 1 species